rnacentral:rRNA from 1 species
CCUACGGGAGGCAGCAGUGAGGAAUAUUGGUCAAUGGGCGAGAGCCUGAACCAGCCAAGUCGCGUGAGGGAAGACGGUCCUAUGGAUUGUAAACCUCUUUUGCCGGGGAGCAAAAAGCGGUACGUGUACCGCAUCGAGAGUACCCGGAGAAAAAGCAUCGGCUAACUCCGUGCCAGCAGCCGCGGUAAUACGGGGGAUGGGAGCGUUAUCCGGAUUUAUUGGGUUAAAGGGGUGCGCAGGCGGCGAGUUAAGUGAGCGGGAAAAUUUCGGGGUCCAACCCCGACGAGCCGUUGAAACUGGGUGGCUAGAGUGGACGAGAAGUAUGCGGAAUGCGUGGUGUAGCGGUGAAAUGCAUAGAUAUCACGCAGAACACCGAUUGCGAAGGCAGCUUACCGGCGCCCAACUGACGCUCAGGCACGAAAGCGUGGGUAUCGAACAGGAUUAGAUACCCGGGUAGUC